ensembl:lncRNA
AGAAAUACAAAGCAACCUCUACCAUAGCUUCAUCUAAAAACUUAGCAGCUGCAUGCCUAUUACUUCUCUAGAUUGCUUAAGUUAAGUUCUGGUGUAUUUAUAUUAAGUCAAUCUGUUGACUUUGUUUUUCUAGGGAAUGAUUAGUAAAAGAAUUUGUUUUAAUAUCUGUGCAGGGCAGAGAGACCUAGCUCCAGGACUGGAUCAGCCAAAAAUCUGUUAGGUAAUCUACUGCAAGUUACCUUAAUUUCACCAGGAAAUGGUUUUUGACUGAAAUGAUGUUUGAGCACUAUCCAGGUUUCAGCUGACACAGUGUUAACAGCACACUGACAUUUAGUUGUUGCUGAGUGAUCAUGCUGGUGUUGUACACACAAGUAAAGGCUGAAGCAUCAAGAUAAAGGCUGCUCCCUAUGGGAUAGAGAGCUUGAGGCUGAAGGGUGUCCUGGAACUGGCAGGACAGGAUCUGGACUAGACAGGGCUCACCCUCCAGGAUCCACAUAAGCCGCACAGAGCAGAUGUGGAGGUGAUGCCCAGGUUCUACCAAGAGUUCAGAUCAUAAGGCAAUACCUAGGUCAUGAGGCAGGGUGAAGGAAAUCAGUCUAUAGGUCAGGGUUAGGAUCAAGUCCAGUGAUUUCCCAGCAGGUUCAUAGCAAUAAAGCUAGAUUGAGAUCAAGACAGGAAGUCAAUCUGUGGCUCAAAGCCUGAACUAAAGGGCUCUGUUGCUAGGCGCGGCUUAAUGCUUUGACAGGAUAUGGUCAAAGACUAGUAUUCCUUUAACAUCAAAUAUGAACUUGAGCUGCUGAUGAAAUAUGUCACAGGGAAUGGGAGAAGCUCGUUUCUCUUGAUAAGAUGCAUCAGUGAGUUAUGAGCAGCUGAAGUAGAAAAACCUGGGCUUAUGAUGGUGCAGAAAUGCUUUCCAUGAAUCAGGCCAAAGCAUUUUUAAAACAGAUGCUCAUUUCAGUACAUGUAGGCCAAGCAGUUUUAUGGAUUUUCUGUACUUGAACUUGAAGCUUUAUGUGAAAUAUCGUGCGAUAUUUUCUUAUCUUGCACUUGCUGGCCUGUUUAUCUUUGUGUCUUAAUAAAUGUACAAUGAGUUU